UCUUAUGGAUGAGCAAAGAAAGUGGUUUCUUGAGAUAGAAUCUGUGCCUGGUGAAGAUGCUGUGAA
rnacentral:pre_miRNA from 1 species